rnacentral:misc_RNA from 1 species
AAGUCGUAACAAGGUAACCGUAGGUGAACCUGCGGUUGGAUCAUUAAUGUAAUUUUGAAAUAGACUUUGGUCUAUUCUCAUUAAAUGGAUGGAUAACUCUUUUCAUGGAGUUUGAAAUCCUUUACACCUAUUGUGAACUGUUAAUGUAUUUGUCAUUGGUAUGAAUGACAUUUAGUCUUUUUAUACAAUGACUCUUUUUUUAAAAACAUUGUAUUAUUUUCUAUGGUUUUUCUUUAUAAUGAAAUAUUAUAAUUGAAACAACUUUUGACAACGGAUCUCUUGGCUCUC